AUUGAACGCUGGCGGCAGGCCUACCACAUGCAAGUCGAACGAGUGGCGGACGGGUGAGUCAUGUCUGGGAAACUGCCUGAUGGAGGGGGAUAACUACUGGAAACGGUCGCUACUACCGCAUACCAUCGGAUGUGCCCCGAGGGGAUUAGCUAGUAGGUGGGGUAACGGCUCACCUAGGCGACGCUCCCUAGCUGGUCUGAGAGGAUGACCAGCCACACUGGAACUGAGACACGGGCCAGAAUCCUACGGGAGGCAGUAGGGGGGAAUAUUGCACAAUGGGCGAAAGCCUGAUGCAGCAAGGCCGCGUGUAUGAAGAAGGCCGUCGGGUUGUAAAGUACUGUCAGCGGGGAGGCGUUACCCGCAGAAGAAGCACCGGCUAACUCCGUGCCAGAAGCCGCGGUAAUAC
rnacentral:rRNA from 1 species